AUGAAGCAUAGAUUAUCAUGCAAAGCUGAUGAUAUUGAUAGUAUUGAAGAAGUUAUAGAUAUACAAAGAGAUCUAGAAAGAUAUCAGAAAGAUACCCUAAGAAAAAUAAAGCCACAACAAGUAUAUCACAUGGGUAUGUUUGAAAGUAAGAGUGGUCUAUACAGAAUAUCUCGAGAAGUAGAAUUAAGCGUGUUAACACAUCCAGUAGAUUUAAGAAUUGUAAGCAAAAAUAUUGAAAAUGAAUUAAAAUAUUGUGGUUACAAAUAUAUUCAUCAAGAAAAAAUGAGUUUUGGUUUCCAAACUAAAGGUUAUGAAGAUUUUAAAGGAACAAAUUUGCUAGUAAGUAUAGAAUUUAUAGGAAGGCUCACUAAUAGAAGUAGCUCCAGAUAUAGAGUGAAUGUGAAUGACGUAAUUGAUAGUAUGCAAUCAAAAGGUAUUAAAUUUAUGAAUCCUCUUAAAAUUGGCUCUGAAGAAAGAGCAGGAGAAGAAUGGAAGAUAGGAGAAUUAAUAGAGAAAAAAGAAUUAAAGCAACCUGAAAACUACAUAAGCUAUCAAAAUUGUGAAGGAAGUAGCAGUAUUCGAUUUAUGAACUAUAAAGCUGCAUCAACAGAAGACUCUGAAUCAUUUAUGUCAGAAUCGGAAAUUAAUGAUGAUAAGAAUAAAGGUAUAUCUGAAUGUAUGGAAAAGGCUAAUUUAGAUGAUGAAAUAAUUCAUUGGGAAAAGAAGCUAAAGCAUAUUGAAUGGGAAUAUAGUCAUUCUAUGACAAAGGAUUGGCCGGAAAUUAGAGAAAGAGAGCUAUUUAUCAUUCGAGAAAUUGCAAGGUUAAAGAAACUAAAAAGCGAUAAAAUGUCUGUCACUAAAAGAAAAGCAAAUGCGAUCAUUAAUAAAAAUUCUGUUGUUAAUAAUAAUAAUAAAGAUAAGAAUAUUAUUCAAAAAGAAGAAAUUGUUAGUGAAGAAGAGCAAUGGGAUAUCAAUAAUAAGUUAUUAUUAGAAAGUUAUGAGGAAGAGGAGGAAUUAAUAAAAGAAAUGUGGUUAGAAGAUGAAAGAUAUGAUGAUUCAGAACAAAAUAGUGAUUUCUACAACUCACUAGAUGAUGUGGGAGAAUCUGUAAAAGUUCUUUGGGAACAAUGGGUAGAAUCAUACCCUAGUCAAUAUGAAGAAUUAAAAAGGGCAGGAAGUAACCCUAAUAACUUUGCGAAUGUUAUCUCAAAUAUGAUCAUAGCAGAAGAUCCUGAAUUAGGACAUACCUCAUUGCAAAAUGAAAGGUUAAGAGAAAUAGAAAAAUUAACAUUAACUAGCUGGAAAGGUAUUAAAGAGUUUUCCCAGCAUUAUUUGUAUAAUGCUACUACUGCUAAACAAGGUUUUAAUGUAGGCGUAGUAGAAAGAUAUUUUAAUAAGUUGCCUGAUCCCCUAGGGUCAAUAAUAUUUGAAGAAUAUAAAAAGGAAACGGCGGGAAACGUGGUAAACAUAUCUCAAGCUGUAACAUUUGUUUUCAAACAAUUAAGAAAGGUGUGUACUAGUAUUCAAGCCCAAAGAUCUAUGAAGAAAUUAGAUUAUAAUUUUUGCAAUAACAUAGUCCAAAUACCACUUACAUAUGGAGAAGAAAGGCAUAGGAAUCAUCUAAGUAGAACUUGCCCUAAUAAAGACCAGAAAAGAUACUCUAGCAAAUAUGAAGAACAAGAGAGGGUGUUAAUUAUAGAUAGCGUUAAUGAAAAUAUAUUAGUAUGUGAUGAUGAAAUAAAAGACGAUGAGUCAAUAUAUUCAAUUAUAGAAACAGAUGAAGUAGAAAAUGAGGCUCCAGAAUAUGAAUCAAGUGAAGAUGAAAUAGACCUAAUAGAUGAUUUAGCCGGUUUAAAAAUUGAAAUGAUGAACCAAGUAGAUUGUGAACAUGAUUGGAUUAGAGGAAAAGGUGAUUAUAACAUAAAAUGUGCUUUCUGUAUAUAUUAUCCAAGCCAAGAUAAUAGGUUUACAUGUAGCUUGUGUUUAAAACAAGCAUGUGCCUCAUGUCUAAGAGCCAAUAAUCAAAAGUGGAGACAAGAGAUAGAAUUGGAACCAGAAGAGCGAAUAUUAUCCAGUAGGGUUAGGAAUUUAGAAAAUAGAAUAAAUAAGCUAGAAGCAGAGCUAGAAAAACUUAAAGAUGAGUUAGAAAAUAGUAAAGAGGAAAAUGAUAAUGUUCCAAAAAACACAGAAAUGAAAGAGCAAAUGGUAACAGUAAGGGAUAAAAAAGGAGACAAAUUAAUACAAUUGAAAGAUGCAAUUACUAGUUUUGGAAACAAAUAUAUUGUUCGAUUACCAUUCAAAGAAGUGUUAGGAAUAAGGAUCCCAGUUAAGAUUGUUCUGAAGCCAAAUAUUUCAUAUAAAGUACUGGCACUAUUAGAUACUGGUUGCACUAAAAAUAUCAUCCAUGAUAAAUAUUUUAUGAGAUGUCCCGAAAUAGUUGAAACUAUAGAUGAUAAUAAAGCUGAAGUAUCUACCGAUAUGUCAGGAAUAAAGAAGAUCCAUAACCAGCUAGCAUAUAAUAUUGAAGCUUACAUAAAUGGCACAAAAUAUAUAAUAGAUGAAAUUACAAUAAGAGAUUUGUCAGUAAUAAAUGAUGACAUGAUAAUAGGGUUAAGAUUUUUACAACAAUCUUUACAAACCACAAUCAUACAUGAAGAGGGGGUAACAUUUAUUCCUUAUCAAGAUAAUGUUCCAUACAUAUCUGAAGUGCGAAAACAAAGAAAGUCCUUGCAAAAUGUAGAAAUAUCUAAUUUAGAUGAUGAAUAUAGCACAAGUCUAGAUCCCCUUGAAUUCUGUAAAGACGAAGAACUUAGUGAGACCAUAGAAGAAUAUCAUAUAGAAAAUACAUGUACUGAAUGCAUUGGGUUGCAAUCAGUCUCUCCAAAUUGGUAUAGAGAUAUAAAAUCCAAAAAGGAUAUAGAUAAGAUUGUGCAAAGACUAGAAAGUAUACAAAUUAUUGGAGAAAUACCAAUGAAACAUUGGGAUAAGAACUCUAUAGUUUGCAAAAUAAAUAUCAUAAAUCCAGAUUAUAUAAUUAAGUCAGGACCAAUAGAAGCAACUCCUAAAGAAUCGAAGAGUUCAAAAUGCAUAUUGAAGAGUUAUUAA
rnacentral:rRNA from 1 species